rnacentral:rRNA from 1 species
CCUACGGGUGGCAGCAGUGAGGAAUAUUGGUCAAUGGGCGAGAGUCUGAACCAGCCAAGUAGCGUGAAGGAUGACUGCCCUAUGGGUUGUAAACUUCUUUUAUAUGGGAAUAAAGUGUUCCACGUGUGGGAUUUUGUAUGUACCAUAUGAAUAAGGAUCGGCUAACUCCGUGCCAGAAGCCGCGGUAAUACGGAGGAUCCGAGCGUUAUCCGGAUUUAUUGGGUUUAAAGGGAGCGUAGGUGGAUUGUUAAGUCAGUUGUGAAAGUUUGCGGCUCAACCGUAAAAUUGCAGUUGAUACUGGCAGUCUUGAGUACAGUAGAGGUGGGCGGAAUUCGUGGUGUAGCGGUGAAAUGCUUAGAUAUCACGAAGAACUCCGAUUGCGAAGGCAGCUUACUGGACCGUAACUGACACUGAGGCUCGAAAGUGUGGGUAUCAAACAGGAUUAGAUACCCUGGUAGUC